GGACCAGAUUCUGCUGGACCAGGACCUGGACCCAGCUGUGUGUCCUUAAAGAGUGGUUGGUCUAAGGAUCUGCCUAAUGUCUUCAAAGAUGGACGUCAGUCUGAUGGUCCAAAAAUCCAACAUCAGAGACCAGACUCUCCUGGACCUGGACCCAGCUGUGUGUCCUUAAAGAGGGGCGGGUCUUUGUGUCGAUUCGAUGACUUCAAAUCUGUAGAGAUGAGUGCUGAUGAAAGAGGUCAGAGAUCAGAGGCUCCCAUUGGUCAG